UCCCUGGUGGUCUAGUGGUUAGGAUUUGGCGCUUUCACCGCCGCGGCCCGGGUUCGAUUCCCGGUCAGGGAG
rnacentral:tRNA from 1 species